rnacentral:rRNA from 1 species
UACGUAGGUGGCAAGCGUUGUCCGGAUUUACUGGGCGUAAAGAGCGCGCAGGCGGUCGUCCAAGUCGCGUGUGAAAGCCCCCGGCUCAACUGGGGAGGGUCACGCGAUACUGAUCGACUCGAAGGCAGGAGAGGGUAGUGGAAUUCCAGGUGUAGCGGUGAAAUGCGUAGAUAUCUGGAGGAAUACCGGUGGCGAAGGCGGCAUCCUGGACCGGCAUUGACGCUGAUGAGCGAAAGCUAGGGGAGCAAACGGG